rnacentral:misc_RNA from 1 species
CGCAUAUUGCGCCCUUUGGUAUUCCGAAGGGCAUGCCUGUUCGAGCGUCAUUAUCACCUCUCAAGCCCCGGCUUGGUGUUGGACUUCGUUGUAGACUUGCCUUCAACGGGCCCCAAAGACAGUGACGCCGUCCCAGAGGGAACCGGUGCGAGGAGCUUCCAGUUAAGCAUGUACGCGGCAGGACUCUGCGGGCGGCGGCCAUUUAUUUUAUUUUCCAAGUGUUGACCUCGGAUCAGGUAGGGAUACCCGCUGAACUUAA